rnacentral:rRNA from 1 species
CGGUUGAUCCUGCCGGAGGUCACUGCUAUCGGGGUUCGAUUAAGCCAUGCGAGUCGAGAGGGUUCGGCCCUCGGCGUACUGCUCAGUAACACGUGGAUAACCUGCCCUAGGGAAGGGGAUAACCCCGGGAAACUGGGGAUAAUACCCUAUAGAUUACAGAUGCUGGAAUGCCCUGUAAUCCAAAGUUCCGACGUCCUAGGAUGGAUCUGCGGCCGAUUAGGUUGUUGUUGGGGUAAUGGCCCAACAAGCCCGUAAUCGGUACGGGUUGUGGGAGCAAGAGCCCGGAGUUGGAUUCUGAGACACGAAUCCAGGCCCUACGGGGCGCAGCAGGCGCGAAAACUUUACAAUGCGGGCAACCGUGAUAAGGGAACCUCGAGUGCCUGUAAAUGCAGGCUGUUCAGGUGCCUAAAACACACCUGGAGAAAGGGCCGGGCAAGACCGGUGCCAGCCGCCGCGGUAAUACCGGCGGCUCGAGUGGUGGCCGCUUUUAUUGGGCUUAAAGCGUUCGUAGCUGGGUUGUUAAGUCUCUUGGGAAAUCUGGCGGCUUAACCGUCAGGCGUCUAAGGGAUACUGGCAAUCUUGGAACCGGGAGAGGUGAGGGGUACUUCGGGGGUAGGAGUGAAAUCCUGUAAUCCUCGAGGGACCACCUGUGGCGAAGGCGCCUCACCAGAACGGCUUCGACAGUGAGGGACGAAAGCUGGGGGAGCAAACCGGAUUAGAUACCCGGGUAGUCCCAGCCGUAAACUAUGCGCGUUAGGUGUAUCGGUGACCACGG